rnacentral:rRNA from 1 species
CGGGUGAGUAACGCGUGAGGAACCUGCCUCAAAGAGGGGGACAACAGUUGGAAACGACUGCUAAUACCGCAUAAGCCCACGGGUCGGCAUCGACCAGAGGGAAAAGGAGCAAUCCGCUUUGAGAUGGCCUCGCGUCCGAUCAGCUAGUUGGUGAGGUAAUGGCCCACCAAGGCAACGAUCGGUAGCCGGACUGAGAGGUUGAACGGCCACAUUGGGACUGAGACACGGCCCAG